UGACAUGGAAAGGAGACUACCAUAGUGGGCGAAUUUAUUUGGGGUAGCAAAAUGGGAAAGGUAGCAAAUUUGCUACCUUGGUAGCAGUCAGGCGGUGGGCCCCCAAGGAGUCAAAUGGUACGCGCGUUUGUGGAAGAAACGUUGCCCAGCGCGCACAACUGGAGCGCGUGCAUUGCACACGCCCGAUGUGCGCCUAGGAUUGACGGACUGCGCCUGGCCCACCUCUUUUCUCUCCACUUUUGCUUGUUUUCGUCCAUUUUCUUUCUUUUUUUAAUUUUUUUUUUCAUUUUCC
rnacentral:lncRNA from 1 species